ensembl:misc_RNA Metazoa_SRP Metazoan signal recognition particle RNA
GCUGGGCGUGGUGGCUCACGCCUGUAAUCCCAGUUCUUUGGGAGGCGGAGGUGGGCGGAUCACUUGAGGUCAGGAGUUCAAGACCAGCCUGGCCAACAUAGUGAAACCCUGUCUCUA